UCCGGGUUGGUCCCGGCGGUCCGAGCAGACGGAGUAACUGCUCGCGGGGGUUGCGCUCGUUGCGGGACUUAACCCAACACCUCACGGCACGAGCUGACGACAGCCGUGCAGCACCUGUGCAGGCUCCCUCGCGGGUCGGUUCCGUUUCCGGUUCCUACCACCUGCAUGUCAAGCCCGGGUAAGGUUCUUCGCGUUGCAUCGAAUUAAACCACACGCUCCGCUGCUUGUGCGGGCCCCCGUCAAUUCCUUUGAGUUUUAGCCUUGCGGCCGUAGUCCCCAGGCGGGGCACUUAUUGCGUUGGCUGCGGCACCGGGGGGGUCGAUACCCCCGACACCUAGUGCCCAUCGUUUACGGCGUGGACUAC
rnacentral:misc_RNA from 1 species